ACAUCGGCGGAAGUGAGUGGAAGGCGCUCGAGUCACCUCCCGGCUGCAAGCUGGGCGGGAGCGGGCGCGGGGAUGCUCGCUGCAGCGGGACGGCCUCCGUCCAGACUGCGGCCUCAAGGACCCCGCGUGCGUCUUGAUUCCGGACCCCCGCGCUUUGAAGUAAUUUGCUUGUAUUUCAAGCGGAAAUCGUAGAAAGCAAGCUCACCCACAGGAGGACCAGUGCCUGGGAGAGGGUGCGGGACAGCGCAGGCUCGGCUGAGGUUUGGUCCUGAUGCUGUGGAGGACAUAACCCACCCAACUACAUGUUACCUGGAGAUUCUGCAAAUUAACUGCCUUCAUCACUGGACACAACCACAGACUGCAAGUUGACGGUUACCGUGCUAGCACCUGUGUUCAUUUCCCUAGGAGCUGCUAAAUGUUUAACUAAGUUUUUUCCCCUUAGAUCAUACAAGAAUCAAAGAUGAAAAUGGAUAUGCAAGUAUUAAUAUUAUUACGUUUAUUACAAUUUGGAUCAUCUUUUCUCCUAAGAAAGCUGGCUCACUUAAUUCAGUCUAAAAGCGUCACAUUAAGGACACUGGAGACUGGAAGAAAAGCACAGAUGAGAGAGCUGAGGCAUUUUCUCCAUAAAGUGCUCCUCUAGAUGAACACCGAGCUCUGCCUGGCACACUCCCCACUGUUUACGUGCACUGACGCACUUCUGAACGUUACUGCCAACUUCCUUGGAAUGGAGUGAGAUUUACUGCUGCCAUGUAACAGAGUUAUGUAUUGAGAAACACCAUUUAAGCA